UUUUUGUCUAAAAGAUAAAUACAU
rnacentral:snRNA from 1 species